UGUAGAAGAAGUCUUCGCUCCGUCCCGACCUGGAAUGAGAGAGGCCCUUAGCGGGGGGGCGCGUGGACGCACACGACGAGGACCCCCUGACCGAGGCCGCAGUUCAGCAGGCCCUCAGACAGCAGGCUGCGGCCCCCCGCCCUCCGGGCCGGAGGGGUGGAGGUGGUGCUGGGGGUGGUGCUGGUGGCUCGCCCCCUUCUUUAGCUGGGGGUCCGACGCCUGGCAGUGUUUCUCCUGGACGCUGUUCCCGUUGACGAGGCUGCUGACGCUACCCAUGGCGCUGCCGGCAUAGGUGGAGGCAUGGGGUGGGGGUGGUGGUCUUGGGGGUGGAGGUCAGAGCCCGGCUUCCACUCCACACAAGGGGACAGCACACCGAUGGAAGAAGUUGGUGGUUCCCUGGACCGGAGUCCACGUGUGUUGGUCUGAGUGAGUGUGCGUGUGCGUGCGGUCUCUGAGUGAACGAGAGGAAGGAUGUUUCACUAUCAACACAGCCAGGAGGGCCGGCUGAUGCUCGCUCUUCCCCGGGGGAGGGCGGGCCUACAGGCUUUCCUCUCGUGAGCCGGGACCCAGUUUUGCAUUAUAACUGACAUGUUAAUGCGUGUGUGUUUGUGUGUGUGCACACGCGUGUGUGUGUGUGUGUGUGUGUGUGCGUAUGUGUG
ensembl:lncRNA